rnacentral:rRNA from 1 species
AAGUCGUAACAAGGUCUCCGUUGGUGAACCAGCGGAGGGAUCAUUACUGAGUACUACACUCUCUACCCUUUGUGAACUAUUAUACCUGUUGCUUCGGCGGCGCCCGCAAGGGUGCCCGCCGGUUCUCAUCAGAAUCUCUGUUUUCGAACCCGACGAUACUUCUGAGUGUUCUUAGCGAACUGUCAAAACUUUUAACAACGGAUCUCUUGGCUCCAGCAUCGAUGAAGAACGCAGCGAAACGCGAUAUGUAAUGUGAAUUGCAGAAUUCAGUGAAUCAUCGAAUCUUUGAACGCACAUGGCGCCUUCCAGUAUCCUGGGAGGCAUGCCUGUCCGAGCGUCGUUUCAACCCUCGAGCCCCUGUGGCCCGGCGUUGGGGAUCUGCCACGGCAGGCCCCUAAAACCAGUGGCGGACCCGAAGGGCCCUCUCCUUUGCGCAGUAGCAUUCGCCUCGCAUCGGGAGUCCUCGGCGUCCUGCCUCUAAACCCCCCACAAGCCCGCUUCGGCGGCACCAAGGUUGACCUCGGAUCAGGUAGGAAUACCCGCUGAACUUAA